rnacentral:rRNA from 1 species
CCAAUCCCGAUUCGGGGAGGUAGUGACAAUAAAUAACAAUACAGGGCCAACGGUCUUGUUAUUGGAAUGAGAACAAUUUAAAUAACUUAACGAGGAUCAAUUAGAGGGCAAGUCUGGUGCCAGCAGCCGCGGUAAUUCCAGCUCUAAUAGCGUAUAUUAAAGUUGUUGCAGUUAAAAAGCUCGUAGUCGGAUGUCGGGCUCGGGCAGGCUGUCGGCUUCGGUCGGACGGCAGGCUCGGGUCUCUCUGCCUGAGGAUCCCGUUGCACUUAAUUGUGGGGCGUGGGGACGCAGGCCGUUUACUUUGAAAAAAUUAGAGUGUUCAAAGCAGGCCUACGCUUGAAUACAUUAGCAUGGAAUAAUGGAAUAGGACUUUGGUGCUAUUUUGUUGGUUUAUGGGACCGAAGUAAUGAUUAACAGGGACAGUUGGGGCCGUUUAUAUUUCGUUGUCAGAGGUGAAAUUCUUGGAUUUACGAAAGAUAAACUUCUGCGAAAGCAUUCGGCAAGGAUGUUUUCAUUGAUCAAGAACGAAAGUUAGGGGAUCGAAGACGAUCAGAUACCGUCGUAGUCUUAACCAUAAACUAUGCCGACUAGGGAUCAGUGGAUGUCAAUUUGCGACUCCAUUGGCACCUUGUGAGAAAUCAAAGUUUUUGGGUUCCGGGGGGAGUAUGGUCGCAAGGCUGAAACUUAAAGGAAUUGACGGAAGGGCACCACCAGGAGUGGAGCCUGCGGCUUAAUUUGACUCAACACGGGGAAACUUACCAGGUCCAGACAUAGUAAGGAUUGACAGAUUGAAAGCUCUUUCUUGAU